AUUGAACGCUGGCGGCACGCCUAACACAUGCAAGUCGAGCGGCAGCAUGCUUAGCAGCAAUACUAAGUGAUGGCGAGCGGCGGACGGGUGAGGAACGCGUAGGAACCUGCCCAAGAGAGGGGGAUAACUAAGGGAAACUUUAGCUAAUACCGCAUAAACUCUGAGGAGAAAAGUUGCCUGUAAGGGUAGCGCUUUUGGAGGGGCCUGCGUCCGAUUAGUUAGUUGGUGAGGUAAAGGCUCACCAAGACGAUGAUCGGUAACUGGUCUGAGAGGACGACCAGUCACACUGGGACUGAGACACGGCCCAGACUCCUACGGGAGGCAGCAGUGGGGAAUCUUGGACAAUGGGGGCAACCCUGAUCCAGCGAUGCCGCGUGGGUGAAGAAGGCCUUCGGGUUGUAAAGCCCUUUAGGCGGGGAAGAAGGAUGUGGGCUGAGUAAGUCUGUAUUUUGACGGUACCCGCAGAAUAAGCACCGGCAAACUCUGUGCCAGCCGCCGCCGUAA
rnacentral:rRNA from 1 species